GUCAAGCUGCCAGCAGAUUCAUGUUUUAUGCUAAUGGAGAGAGACUCAUUGACUAGGGGGAGGUGGUGACCCGGUCAGCUCUUUCCUCAGGCACCCCAGAGGUCGAGAGGUCGGGGGAGAGAGGCCGAGGCCAGUAUGGAUUUUCUGUAAGGGUCAGUGUAAUUUUAUAAUAAUUCAGCGAGUACACACACUCCUGCAUACACAGAGGGUCAUGUAUGCAGAUAUGUGUUCAGAUCCGCGUGAACAGCACCCCUCCAAUACACACACACACACACCUGCUCCUGUGCAGGCGUCUGGGCCCAGUGCACACAAGCCUGGGGCAGGAACACUUGUCCACCCCCUUCAGCUCACUUACACACGCACACCCUUGCUGUCACCUUCAGGCAUGCAAUUACACCAAGGCAAACCUGCAGCCUGCUCAGAAACCCAGAGAAACAUACCACCCCACACACAGACAAUGCACACCUCAAAGAUGAGGAGGUCCUUCCAAGGGCCCCUCUGCUGACCAUCCCAAACCUUUUAUCUCAGGGCUUUCACGUCUGCUGGUCCCAGUGCAGUCUCUUGUUCCCAUUCUCAUAUUUUCCCUGGGCGGUGGGGAAACAAAUGAGCCCCAGGACGGUCCUGGUUUUCAAUUGAUUGGGUCUGGGUAGCUGGAGCUUGGAAGACAGGGGCUCUGAGACUGGACACACGGAAGGCUGCAACCAAAAUCAGCUGAAUCCAAACUUUCUUUUCCAUCAAUCUGUUUAUUUAUAUAUUUGUCCACACGCGCCGAGGCUUCGCAGUGGCAAGAACUGUUUUUGACAGUCGUGACAAACUGAGGUAGAGCCAAUGCUUUGCACAUAGUAGGUAGUAAAUAAAUGUUAGCAGAAUGAACAGCUGAAGCUACUGACUUCUAGAGGGAGCAAAUUGCAUGUUUCCCUUCUCUUCCUCCACCUCAACAAACCUUUAUAUCAUCACGGGUUUGAGAGGCCAGAGAACGGGCGUGCGGGUGCACGAAGACCUCCUCUUCCUGGGUGCAAGAAGUCUGGAUCUUUGGUGUGAUGGGAAAUGCUAAUUUUAUACCAGCUGAAGCAAUCUGGUCUCAAUUUUGACCCCCAAAUGCCCUCAAAAUGGAUCAAUUAGCAAAGGAGGACUGAGGAAGGAGCACCUGCCCUUCCUCCCACCCAGAGGAGAAUUUGAAUUUGCUUUGAGCAGCUUAUGAGCAGGGCUGGAAGCUGCGGUUCAUUACCAUCAGCAGCUUUAAGGUUUGGCAUGGGCAAGGGGGAGGAUUAGGGGCUUGGGGAGAAACAUUUCAUUUCCCUGUGCCCCACCACCCCCAAAUGAGGGAGAAAAACACAGCAGCAAACUGAACAGCAGGGGCCCAGGCAACAAGGAGAGUCCAAAGGCAGAAGCUGCUUCCAGCGUCAGGCUCCAGGAUGCAGCUGUCGGCUCUGCCAGCUGAGAGUCCGGGUCCUGCGAAGUGGAUUGGGUUCCCUCCUUCCCCGAGGGGCCAGGUUGGGGCAAGGAAGGCUGUUCUGGGAAGAUAAGUCUGCAUCCCUUCCAUCAAGGCCUAGAAUGAAUGGCCUCCCUUCCCUGCUGAAUAGAGAUGGAUGGCGGUGGGCCCAGCUAAUCAGGGGUGUUCUUGGAGACAGCCGGGAGCCAGAAUGGACAAGCUUCCCUAUCCAAGGGAAAGAGGAGCCCUGAAUGCUCUGGGAAUAGGGAAGUAGGCUGGGCUUCUUCAGUGGUCUGAGGCUCUUACCUGGCAUCACUGACCUUGCCUCGCCUGCACCAAGGUGAGUUCCUGCAGGCCCCACUAACCCUAGGGAAGCAACGAGCCUCGGGGCUCCAGCAACGCCACCCCCAAGGAGGAGGCAGGGCUGCAGAUGGGUGGAGGCGGGAAGGGUUUUCCCGGGUGAGCCACGGGGAUGUGAUGGCAAUAAUGACUGACACAGAAAACAAGUUGAUUCAUUCCACACCUGAUUAGCAAAGCUUACUCCCAUUUUGCCCCUCAUCUUCCAAUCUCAAUAUUUGCAUCCACAUAAUGAACUCCCGAGAGCAGGUGCUUGUUAGCCGGCCUAAAGGUUUCUGAGGACAGCAUCCGGGUUACAAAGACAGUACCAAGCCUCGGUGUGGACUGGAUGAAAAGGGAAAGAGAGGAAAAACAGAAGGAAGAAGGAAGGCAGGGAGAGAGAAAUGAAGGAAAGGAGAAGCUGAGAGAGAGGAGGAGGGCUGAGGUGGGAAGUGCGGGCCGAGGCCUCCCUAGGACACGGCUUUCCAGCUGGUGGUCUGAGGGUCCUCCAGCCCAUCCUCAAGGCUUCCACUGCCCUUGGGAGACCUGGCUGACCUCAGUGGCCUGCCCCAUCUCAUUUUUGGGGAACAAAGGAGUUAUCUAAUUGGCUUUCACUGGGCAGCUGCCCAGCACGUGGACAGGGCGUGGGAGCGCAGGCCCAACAGGCUAUAGACACACGCACCCCCACGCUGAUCUCUCCAGGCUUAAUCUAAAGCCAUUUUGCCAAUUAACCUCUUUGUGAGUAUGAGUUCAGUGAAACACACUACAAAGCUGAAGUCCACUUGACCGAGGAGGGAACGUCCUCAUUCUUGUUCAAGAAUGAGAUUCUUUCUCUGGCACCUCUGGUACUCGUAAACCUCACUCCAGGCUCUUUAUGGAUUAAUCCUACCCUCUCUGCGUGGGGCAACUCCUGGCCCUGGGAGGUAGUUUACUGGGCAGGGAUGGAGAUAAGGAUGGCAAAGGAGGAAGAUUUUUCUUCUCACCAAGGAAGAAAAUUAAGUGGCCCUCCCCAGAGGGGACCAGGCCUUAUCUUCACUCCCCUCUCUCCUGCGCUUAGAGGCAGGCUCUCCAAAAUUACAGAAGAGCCCUCCAGUGGAAAGGGCUCAUUUGACCUAUGACCAAACUGAGGUCCGAGGUCACAGAGCCAGAGCAUUGCAGAACAAAGCGGCCCAGGCUCCAGACAGCCUUUGCCCGCAGGGUCAGAGUAGAGGCGCUGUGGCUGGGGGUGAGGAGCCUGAGCAAGGGCGAGUUCCCCACUGCCGCCUCUCUAAGCCACCUCUUCUGCUUCAUGCGCUGGUUUUGGAACCCGAUCUUGACCUGCGGAGCCUCGAGGCUGCCGCCCCAGGCAGGUGGGGCCGCGGGAGGAACUCCUUCUCCAGCGCCAUCAGCUGCUUCUCGGAGAAGCUGGUUGCAGGAGGCCGGCCUCCGCCUGCACCUCCCUGGUGGCGCCGGCUGCAGACGCCUGGGUGGGCGCUGGGGCUGGGGCAGUGGUGGUGGCGGCGGGUCAGGAAGGCAACAGCCGGGGUACCUGGGAGACCCUGCACUCUCCGGCCUCUCCCUGCUCAUCCUCCACCCUACUCGUUCCUCCCACCGCUCCUCCCCAAUCCGACCCCGUUCUAUUAACCCAAAUUUUUUCUCUCUCCUUUUCUUUGUUUCCGCUUUCUCUCUAUCUUUAUUUCUCAUUUUUCCUUCCUUAUUUUGUGUUCUUUCUCCUCUCCCUUCACUUUUUUCUCUCUAUAGUCUUCCUUCAUAUUCCCUUCCUUCUUUUUUUCCUAUUCUUCCUCUUUCCUACCCAGCUCUCUUUCUCUUUCUCUCUUGCAUUUCUUUUUUCUUUUCAUUUCUAGCUCCCUCCUUUCAUUCAUUUGCUUUCUCUAUUUUCCCUAUUUCGCUUUUCUCUAUUUUUCUUUCUUUCUUUCUCUUUUCUUCCUUUCUGCUUUUUUCUCUCAGAAAACAAACUAAUCCUGCUUCUUGGUUCUGUCCUUUAUCAGUAUUCCUCCACAUUCAUCUCUCUCCUCCUGCCCUGCUGGAGCUGCUGCCUCUGCCCCAAGCAUUGGGGCUUUCUCAAAUCUUUUCUUCAUCAGUCUUUUCUCUUUGUGGUUCUCAACUUUUCCAGUCCUUUGUGCUGUUUCCUCGACCUUCUUUCUAGCUUCCUUUGUUUCUAAAGCCUCUCUCUGCAAAAGGCAUGUGGCAUAAGACUGCCCCCUCCCCAAGUGGGGACUUCUUUCCUGUGGCAGCACAGCUGUCCUCUCUCAACUGCCCUCAACUUGGGGGUCAAUUUCAAGGACCCAGAAAUGGGGCUGUUCCCCCAGCUUGAGAAGUCGGGGCUGGGUCCACAGCUCCCCCUACACGCUUAGGGGAGCCUUGCCAAGCUGCUGACUGUUAACUCCAUCAAUCCUAAUAAAAAAGAGAGAGGAGGAAGAGAAAAAAGGAAAGAGUAAAAGAGAGACAGCCCCACAGAUGUGGGGGGAGGAGUUUUGGGGAGCCAGGGGCAGAAAGGGCUGGAUUCACCCAACAGGGAGGGGACAGAGCCCAGAACCAAGCACCUUCGCUCAGCGCACACAGAGCCUCGGCAAAGAAGCCCCAGUUGGCUCCCAGGUUAACUCCGGGAUUGGGGUGGGGUGAGACCUUCUAUCCAACUGCUCUGGGCUGGAGAGGUGGGCAAGGCCAAGGGAUGCUAGUAGAGAAAAGGGCUUAAACUUGAGUAUCAGUCGCCUUCACGUCCGCCUCUAGGCAGUGCGAGCCGCGGGCCUCCUAAACCUCUGAGCUCGGCGGCCCAAUUCCGGCCUCCCGGAGGAGCAGGUGCGGGGGCAGUCGCUGGGUUACCGGCGGAGAACCCUCGGGCGCAGCGAAAACAAAGCCCUGGGCGGUUUUGCCGCUCCUGACCCAGCAGGGCCGAGAGGCCUCUGGAGGUGCGGGCCGGGUAGGGACCAGACACCACGCGCUCGGCGCGGGAAUAUUCUCUCCUGGGAUCCACAGCCACACCGGGCCCUUUCCACAAGGCGGUCCAAACGCGCCGGCCGCGCCCGCCCGGCUCCGCGGGUCCGGACCGCAAACCUCAGGCGCAGCGGAGACCCUCGGCCCAGGCUCGACCUCCCCUUCCGGGGACCCCACGGGGCUCAAGAGUUCCCCCGGGCCCGCCAGUGCACCUGCAACGGCCUCCGCCCUCAUCCUCUUCCCCAGGGCCCCCAGCACCCGCCCUGGCCUGCCCACUCUCUCCAGGGGCCUCCAAGUUCAGCCGCGCCCUGCCCUUGACUCCCCUUCAAGGAGGCUCCUCUAGCUGUUCCUCCCGGGACUCCUCUUGGGAGGGGACAAUCUCAGCCCUGGGACGGGCUAGGGGGCUCUUUUCCUUGUCCUCCUGUAGGAGCUGGAGAAAGUAGGAAGGUCGUGCUGGGGCGGGGGAGGGCACUCCCUGAUUCCAUCGUAGAGUAAUGGGUCUCUGAGUCAAAUUUGAUUUAAAAGAAGAAAUUUGGGAGUUUUCCCUCUCUCCUGUCACUCCUAACUUAAAGUCAGCCAAAAUCAGGCUUUCCCGGGCUGAGAGUCUGAGGCAGUACCCCGCCCCCCGCCCCUGGAGGAGUCGGAAACUGCCAUUUUCGGCUAGCACUUCUCUCCCUUUCCGCAGCAACCCCUUUCGGGAUCUCCAAGCGUCUCUAAGCGCUCGCUGGAGCGAGCAGGUUGGGGACAGGCGGGGUUUUCUCCUGGGUAAUCAGCCCCGGUGGGAAAUCAGCCUUCCUUCAGUGUAGCGAGCUGAGCGCCCCUCCCGCCGCUGAAACCUCAAAACCCAACUCUGAGUGCUCCCUUCUCCAUCCUCCUUCCAACAACUUUUCUGAAGUUCCCGCAAGUUGCGUUUGGGGAAAGAAGUAAUCACCCUUAGCCUCUCAGGGUCUCUAGGCCCCCCAUUUCUCCUGUCCUCACAGUUUCAGAAGUAACGCUUCUCCUGACCCUGCCAGCUGCCACCGUAGUCCCCACACUCAGGGCAGGACAGCUGCUCUGGCCCCACGCCUCCGACAGACGGCCACCCCCAGUCAGAUUCCCCCGAGGGUGGGCAGACCCGCGUCUGCCUGCGGGGGGAACUGGAUGGAGUGAGAAGGAGAGCGAGAGACACAGAGACGGGCAGAGACAUUAUUUCCAGGCUCAAGCGCGCCCCUCCCGGGCCCCGCUCACCUGCUCUGGACGGGCUCCUCUUGAUUUUGAUCCACUUAAAAGUUUGUCCUUCUCUCAAGCGGUCCUAGGAGAGGCGCAAACUCCGCAGUCGGGGUGUGGGGGGCGCCCCCUGAGGGCGCAGGCGCCUGAUCCAGAGCGAGCGCCCGGGAAGCAGGACUCGGGAGCACCCUCCCCAAAGUGCCGGCCGAAGCAGUGAUCCGGAGAGAGGACUUCCAAGUGCCCGGGUCAAAGGGCCAGGCUGCUAGCCCAGGGACGCCCGGGGCAGAGUGGGCGCUAUAGAGGGAGUGGCCAGCGGGGCCGCUGGGCCUGGGGAACUGGAAGGAGAGGGCCCUGGGUCCCCGGCGACGUCUGGCGCUUGCUCCAGUUUGUGACCUCCCCAGUGUGUCCCAGCCCACAACAUUCCCUCGACCCCUUCUGGGGAGGCACUCAGGGCUCGGACAGUCAGAGAGGGAGGGGAUGGGGCGAAGAGACCCCCCUUCUCUUUAGCCCCUCCCCAGCCCCCGCGCCACCGCUCCCCCUGUUCGCUGCCCAGAGCCAAGGGACAGACGGAGAAUUGCAACUAGAAAUUCGAUCGAUUGGUACGAGGGACCACGUGGUCUGGGGUUGGCCAAUGACCAGGCCGCCCGGGAUGAGCUAAUAAUGGAAGCAAUUUGUAACUUUCAGUAGCUCUCUAGGCCUGGGUACAAGAGGGAAGGAGGCGGGCGGAGGUGGGGACAUGGGUACCCCCAGUCCUUCCACCCUCCUCAUUCGUCUAGGGGCACCCAGAACCCCAAUCCUCUUUUCCCCAACACGCAGCCACUCGCAGGGUCUCUGGCCCACUUCUGUCCGGCGGCUGCCGCUCCGAGCAAGAGGGUAGAGAGCCACUCAGCUGGAUGCUUCACUUCGCAGCUGCCCUUGCUGCCAGGUGUGGCGAGAAGGGAAUAUGCGCUGAGUAACGUCCAUCAUCAGAGCCUUAAGACAUUGGGUAAGUUCUCCUCUUCGUGAGCUGGACCAGAUGAGCCUGGCACUGAGUUCGACCCUGCAGUUAAGGAGAGAUCCCCGAGAAGGCAAAGCAACAACACGCAAAGAGCCCGAGCCCCUGACGGCCCAGGUGAGGCGGAGCCGCCUGCUGUGCGGGACUGCUCCCUCCCAGCCUGUGCCAGGAGAAAUAAACUUGUUUUCUGUAUGUGACUGUG
ensembl:lncRNA